ACAGUGGUAGUUCAGUGGUAGAAUUCUCCCUUCCAUGCGGGAGACCUGGGUUCCAUUCCUGGCCAGUGUA
rnacentral:tRNA from 1 species